CUAGCUGAUUUUGUUUGCUUAAAGGGACCAGCAUUUUGUCCUGCGACGGGAGAUCAUGGUAGGUCGAGUUAUAUUCGAAAUAGCGUGAAGCUGAUUAGACCGAAUCACAAUCGAGAUCCGUGGGCGCUGUGGCUCUACUCGAGAUCCGCGGGCGCUGUCGCUCUACGCUUUGAAUGAAUUGGUUGCGUAUUUCUAGCGGCUCGAACUUUUGGAAUUAAUGGUUAGCGUCAACGAUUCAGCAUACUAUAGCUUUCAAAAAAU
rnacentral:lncRNA from 1 species